UCCUAAAAAUACCAUUAGAUGUCAUCAUUGUGCCGGUCCUCUUUCUAAGGAGAUGGAAACUAGUGCAUGGACAGUCCCACCUCUUAUCAGGGAUAGCUUCUCUAUGAUUGGCUCUGCUGUUGGUGGUACAGUAAGUGCUUUUUAUGGAUUCAAUUAUGUGAUGCCUAUUGUUCAGAGACGGGUAAAAGGACCUAUGUGGUUACAUUUUUUCAUUGUUGUAAGUUUUGCAUUACGUUUACUAUUGUAGGAAUGUCCUUUACAUAUGAAAAUGUUCUUUAAAAAAAAUAUCAAAAUGGGAAAUUGUAACUUUAGAUUAUGUUAUCCAGUUAAUCUUAUAUCUAUUGAACAUGUAAAUUUGUAAAUUUGAAUGUCAAGGAGAAACAUAUGACAUGUCUGGUUUAAGCUUAGAACUAUACAUUGAGGAUUGAAGUUAGUCAAGUAUUGAACAAAAAAAUAAUAAUGUAACUUGAAGGUACUGAAGUUUAUAGGUUGUUAUAUCUGGUACAA